rnacentral:rRNA from 1 species
AAACUCCGCAAUGCGCGAAAGCGUGACGGGGUCACCCCGAGUGCCGUCCGCUGAGGAUGGCUUUUGCCCGGUCUAACCAGCCGGGUGAAUAAGGGGAGGGCAAGUCUGGUGUCAGCCGCCGCGGUAAUACCAGCUCCCCGAGUGGUUGGGACGAUUAUUGGGUCUGAAGCGUCCGUAGCCGGCCGGAAAAGUUCCCCGUUAAAUCUGGCGAUCCAAUCGUUGGGCUGCGGGGAAUACUCUUCGGCUUGGGGGCGAGGGAGGUCGGCGGUAGUCCCGGGGUAGGGGCGAAAUCCUAUAAUCCCGGGAGGACCACCAGUGGCGAAGGCGGCCGACUAAAACGCGCCCGACGGUGAGGGACGAAAGCUGGGGGAGCGAACGGGAUUAGAUACCCCGGUAGUCCCAGCUGUAAACGAUGCAGGCUAGGUGUUGGGACGGCUACGAGCUGUCCCAGUGCCGCAGGGAAGCCAUUAAGCCUGCCACCUGGGAAGUACGGCCGCAAGGCUGAAUUCUCACGCGCAAAUCGCGAGUAGUGUUUCUCGCGACAUGGGACAGUUCACUUAAAGGAAUUGGCGGGGGAGCACCACAAGGGGUGAAGCUUGCGGUUUAAUUGGAGUCAACUCCGGGAACCUUACCAAGGGCGACAGCUGGAUGAAGGUCAGAUUAAAGGUCUUACCGGACUAGCUGAGAGGAGGUGCAUGGCCGUCGCCAGUUCGUGCCGUGAGGUGUUCUCUUAAGUGAGACAACGAACGAGACCCGCGCCUCUAGUUGCCACCGGAUUCCUUCGGGAUUCCGGGCACACUAAAGGGACUGCCCUCGCUAAGAGGGAGGAAGGAGCGGGCCACGGCAGGUCAGUAUGCCCCAAAUCCCUUGGGCCACACGCGAGCUGCAAUGGAUGGGACAAUGGGUUCCGACCCCGAGAGGGGAAGGCAAUCUUCAAACCCAUCCUCAGUUGGGAUCGAGGGCUGCAACCCGCCCUCGUGAACAUGGAAUCCCUAGUAACCGCGUGUCAUCAUCGCGCGGUGAAUACGUCCCUGCUCCUUGCACACACCGCCCGUCGCUCCAUCCGAGUCUGGCUCUGGUGAGGCGUGGCCUCAUUGGUCAUGUCGAGCCUAGGUUAGACAAGGAGGGAG